rnacentral:lncRNA from 1 species
UGCAUUACAAAUUUACAUCCUUCAUGUGCUUCUGCGUGGUUGGUGUCUAACCCAUCAGUUCCCUCUUUUAGGAUCUUUAUGAAAUCUCAGAUGGAGUCGGAGUGUCAAGCCUUGGCACCCCUGGGGUUUCAAACGGGGUUCAUGCAUCAGAAGAUACGAACAACGAAAUUCCCGGUUCUAAUCUGUUUGGGAGAACGUUUUCUGGCAUCAGUGCCUCUUUCCUUGCAAGAAACCGCAGUGUGAAGCAGUCUUUUAAGUAGCCCGGCCAGUCAGCAACAUACUUAAGAUGUACUUUUUAUUUAAGGUUAGCUGCAGCUAGCUGAGCUUACCCCUCAGACACAGGCAGUGCCUGGUCAUAUUUGUGGUUGCUGAAUUUUGUAGAGACGUUUAUGUUAUAAAAUUGCUCUAGGAUAUAUGUAUUAGUUUGCGAGAAGUAAUUUCUCAUAAAAUAGUACAGAAACAGAAAAAUUCUCAAUAAACUGCCCCCCCUCCCCCUCCGCCCCCCCUCUUUUUUCUCUCUCGUGCAUAUAGUGAAUUACAAGCUACUUCGUUGGUUAAAGGUUGCACCUAGCGAUGUUAGUUACUGUUUAUUAAAAAAGGUAGCCGGUUGAGGUGUCGCAACAUUGAAGACUGGAUGAGAUAAUACUGGUUCUUGUUAUUGAUAGUCUUACUGGGUACAAUUUUGCGCACCAUGAAAAAGGGCUUCAAGUGUCUAAGAACCAUCCAUUUGUGCUUUGGAGUGAUGCAGAUUAUCACUUAAUUAUCUGUUUACUUGCAUGCCUGCCAGUUUAGGUCAAGGUCAAUGAAGUAACGAGACCCUUUUAUGUACGAACGGAC